rnacentral:rRNA from 1 species
AAGACUGGGAUAACUCCGGGAAACCGGGGCUAAUACCGGAUAACAUUUUGAACCGCAUGGUUCGAAAUUGAAAGGCGGCUUCGGCUGUCACUUAUGGAUGGACCCGCGUCGCAUUAGCUAGUUGGUGAGGUAACGGCUCACCAAGGCAACGAUGCGUAGCCGACCUGAGAGGGUGAUCGGCCACACUGGGACUGAGACACGGCCCAGACUCCUACGGGAGGCAGCAGUAGGGAAUCUUCCGCAAUGGACGAAAGUCUGACGGAGCAACGCCGCGUGAGUGAUGAAGGCUUUCGGGUCGUAAAACUCUGUUGUUAGGGAAGAACAAGUGCUAGUUGAAUAAGCUGGCACCUUGACGGUACCUAACCAGAAAGCCACGGCUAACUACGUGCCAGCAGCCGCGGUAAUACGUAGGUGGCAAGCGUUAUCCGGAAUUAUUGGGCGUAAAGCGCGCGCAGGUGGUUUCUUAAGUCUGAUGUGAAAGCCCACGGCUCAACCGUGGAGGGUCAUUGGAAACUGGGAGACUUGAGUGCAGAAGAGGAAAGUGGAAUUCCAUGUGUAGCGGUGAAAUGCGU